GAAUGUUCAAGCAACCCCUGUUCAAAUAGUGGAGUGUGCAAUGAUGCAGUCAAUAGCUAUUACUGCGCAUGCGUGGCCGGUUAUGCAGGAGCUCAUUGUGAAACAGACACGAACGAAUGUUCAAGCAACCCCUGUUCAAAUAGUGGAGUGUGCAAUGAUGCAGUCAAUGGCUAUUCCUGUGCAUGCAUAGCCGGUUAUGAAGGAACACAUUGUGAAACAGCACUUGCGAGAUAAAUUAUACUUCUACAGUUUCAGCUUGUUCCCAAUACGGAUCCCAUUUGGUCUUCAUCGAGUCGCAAGAGGAACAGGACUUCAUCGUAGGGGGUGCCAGUGAUAACUACUGGAUCAGGCUCACCGGUCGCAGCUACAGAAAGGCAAGGUGGCAAGACGGAUCAAGUUUUACAUAUACAAACUUAAACCAUUUUUCGUUUAAUGAGAAUGCAAACUUUUUUCAAAUUUGAUAUCAUAUUCAAUCUGGUGCGCCAGAGACGUAUCCAUAUAGUUGGUAAGAUAAUGAUCGAUCCAGACAAUUAGGAUUCAUAUGAAAAAAAAAGUAGUGAUAUAAAGAUUGGAUUUGUUUCUUUCAAUUGUUCAUACUAUCUGGUUGCGCCGCUUGGUGCAUUUGAACCCCUAGAUGGGGGCAAGGGAAUCCCCCUCAAAAGAGUAUAUAAUUAGGUUUUCUUUCUUUAGUCAUUGUUUUCGUAAAGGUCUAUCGGAACCGUAGGAAUGCUCAAUUCUGUGGUCUUUUGUCGUUCCAUGCACUUAUUUUCACAUGCAAAGCAUUCAAAAGAAUGUAGAAAAGAUGUUAAUUUAUAAUCUCUAAACUACGGAGCACUCUUCAUCUUCACAUUCAAGCAUUUCAAGAAUAAUCAUAUUA